GACGAACGCUGGCGGCGUGCCUAAUACAUGCAAGUUGAGCGAUGAAGAUUGGUGCUUGCACCAAUUUGAAGAGCAGCGAACGGGUGAGUAACGCGUGGGGAAUCUGCCUUUGAGCGGGGGACAACAUUUGGAAACGAAUGCUAAUACCGCAUAACAACUUUAAACAUAAGUUUUAAGUUUGAAAGAUGCAAUUGCAUCACUCAAAGAUGAUCCCGCGUUGUAUUAGCUAGUUGGUGAGGUAAAGGCUCACCAAGGCGAUGAUACAUAGCCGACCUGAGAGGGUGAUCGGCCACAUUGGGACUGAGACACGGCCCAAACUCCUACGGGAGGCAGCAGUAGGGAAUCUUCGGCAAUGGACGAAAGGCUGACCGAGCAACGCCGCGGGAGUGAAGAAGGGUUUCGGAUCGGAAAACUCUGUUGGUAGAGAAGAACGUUGGUGAGAGUGGAAAGCUCAUCAAGUGACGGUAACUACCCAGAAAGGGACGGCUAACUACGUG
rnacentral:rRNA from 1 species